GCCUGGUGGUUCCUUGAGGCUGCUUAUCUGUGCUGCUCAUCGAGGUUUUAUUUCACAGGCAAAAAGUAACCUCUUCAAUUUAAUGCUUGGGAGUUUCCUACCUAUGUGACUUCCAAAGCCCGGCUGGAGAGAUAUUC